rnacentral:rRNA from 1 species
CCUACGGGCGGCAGCAGUGAGGAAUAUUGGUCAAUGGACGAGAGUCUGAACCAGCCAAGUAGCGUGAAGGAUGACUGCCCUAUGGGUUGUAAACUUCUUUUAUAUGGGAAUAAAAUGUUCCACGUGUGGGAUUUUGUAUGUACCAUAUGAAUAAGGAUCGGCUAACUCCGUGCCAGCAGCCGCGGUAAUACGGAGGAUCCGAGCGUUAUCCGGAUUUAUUGGGUUUAAAGGGAGCGUAGGUGGAUUGGUAAGUCAGUUGUGAAAGGUUGCGGCUCAACCGUAAAAUUGCAGUUGAAACUGGCAGUCUUGAGUACAGUAGAGGUGGGCGGAAGUAGUGGUGUAGCGGUGAAAUGCUUAGAUAUCACGAAGAACUCAGAUUGCGAAGGCAGCUCACUGGACUGCAACUGACACUGAGGCUCGAAAGUGUGGGUAUCAAACAGGAUUAGAUACCCUUGUAGUC